rnacentral:rRNA from 1 species
AACGUAGGAGGCGAGCGUUAUCCGGAUUUACUGGGCGUAAAGCGCACGCAGGUGGUGGCGUGAGUCGGACGUGAAAGCUCCCGGCUUAACUGGGCGAGGUCGUUCGAUACUGCGUCACUUGAGGUUGGGAGAGGGGUGCGGAAUUCCCGGUGUAGUGGUGGAAUGCGUAGAGAUCGGGAGGAACACCAGUGGCGAAGGCGGCACCCUGGCCCACACCUGACGCUGAGGUGCGAAAGCGUGGGUAGCAAACAGG